AGGUAACCUACCCUUCGGACGGGCACAACCCCGGGAAACUGGGGCUAAUUCCCGAUAGGUACCCCCUUCUGGAAUGUGGGGAUAUCCAAAGCUCCGGCGCCGAAGGAUGGGCCUGCGGCCGAUUAGGUUGUUGGCGGGGUAACAGCCCACCAAGCCGACGAUCGGUACGGGCAGUGAGAGCUGUAGCCCGGAGAUGGGGACUGAGACAAGGCCCCAGGCCCUACGGGGCGCAGCAGGCGCGAAACCUUCACAAUGCACGAAAGUGUGAUGAGGGUACUCCGAGUGCGCAUACAUUGUAUGUGCUUUUCUGCAGCGUAAAUAGUUGCAGGAAUAAGGGCUGGGCAAGACCGGUGCCAGCCGCCGCGGUAACACCGGCAGCCCUAGUGGUGGCCGCUUUUAUUGGGCCUAAAGCGUCCGUAGCCGGACAGGCGAGUCUUUGGGUAAAUCCUACGUCUUAAGCGUGGGAAUUCUAAAGAUACUACCUGUCUUGAGGCCGGGAGAGGCUGGAGGUACUCCUGGGGUAGGGGUAAAAUCCUAUAAUCCUGGGGGGACCACCGAUGGCGAAGGCAUCCAGCUGGAACGGGCCUGACGGUGAGGGACGAAACCCAGGGGAGCGAGCCGGAUUAGAUACCCGGGUAGUCCUGGGCGUAAAUGAUGUGGGCUUGGUGUGAGCGCAUCGACGAGGUGCGCUUGUGCCGUAGGGAAGCCGUUAAGCCCACCGCCUGGGGAGUACGGUCGCAAGGCUGAAACU
rnacentral:rRNA from 1 species